rnacentral:rRNA from 1 species
AAAGAAACCAACAGGGAUUGCCCUAGUAACGGCGAGUGAAGCGGCAACAGCUCAAAUUUGAAAUCUGGCUCUUUCAGAGUCCGAGUUGUAAUUUGCAGAGGGCGCUUUGGCUUUGGCAGCGGUCCAAGUUCCUUGGAACAGGACGUCACAGAGGGUGAGAAUCCCGUACGUGGUCGCUAGCUAUUGCCGUGUAAAGCCCCUUCGACGAGUCGAGUUGUUUGGGAAUGCAGCUCUAAAUGGGAGGUAAAUUUCUUCUAAAGCUAAAUAUUGGCCAGAGACCGAUAGCGCACAAGUAGAGUGAUCGAAAGAUGAAAAGCACUUUGGAAAGAGAGUCAAACAGCACGUGAAAUUGUUGAAAGGGAAGCGCUUGCAGCCAGACUUGCUUGCAGUUGCUCAUCCGGGCUUUUGCCCGGUGCACUCUUCUGCAGGCAGGCCAGCAUCAGUUUGGGCGGUGGGAUAAAGGUCUCUGUCAUGUACCUCUCUUCGGGGAGGCCUUAUAGGGGAGGCGACAUACCACCAGCCUAGACUGAGGUCCGCGCAUCUGCUAGGAUGCUGGCGUAAUGGCUGUAAGCGGCCCGUCUUGAAACACGGACCAAGGAGUCUAACAUCUAUGCGAGUGUUUGGGUGUCAAGCCCGAGCGCGUAAUGAAAGUGAACGGAGGUGGGAACCCGCAAGGGUGCACCAUCGACCGAUCCUGAAGUUUACGGAAGGAUUUGAGUAAGAGCAUGGCUGUUGGGACCCGAAAGAUGGUGAACUAUGCUUGAAUAGGGUGAAGCCAGAGGAAACUCUGGUGGAGGCUCGCAGCGGUUCUGACGUGCAAAUCGAUCGUCAAAUUUGGGGCAUA